rnacentral:rRNA from 1 species
AUUGAACGCUGGCGGCAUGCCUUACACAUGCAAGUCGAACGGCAGCAUGGAGAGCUUGCUCUCUGAUGGCGAGUGGCGAACGGGUGAGUAAUGCAUCGGAACGUACCGUGUAAUGGGGGAUAACGUAGCGAAAGUUACGCUAAUACCGCAUACGACCUGAGGUGGAAAGCAGGGUGUCGCAAGACCUUGCGUUAUACGAACGGCCGAUGUCAGAUUAGCUAGUUGGGAGGGUAAAGGCUCACCAAGGCGGCGAGCUGUAGCGGGUCUGAGAGGAUGAUCCGCCACCAUGGGACUGAGACACGGCCCAGACUCCUACGGGAGGCAGCAGUGGGGAAUAUUGGACAAUGGGCGCAAGCCUGAUCCAGCCAUGCCGCGUGAGUGAAGAAGGCCCUCGGGUUGUAAAGCUCUUUUGUCCGGAAAGAAAAGCAUCCAGUUAAUACCUGGGUGUCCUGACGGUACCGGAAGAAUAAGCACCGGCUAACUUCGUGCCAGCCGCCGCGGUAA